rnacentral:rRNA from 1 species
GACGAACGCUGGCGGCGUGCUUAACACAUGCAAGUCGAACGGAAAGGCCCUGCUUUUGUGGGGUGCUCGAGUGGCGAACGGGUGAGUAACACGUGAGUAACCUGCCCUUGACUUUGGGAUAACUUCAGGAAACUGGGGCUAAUACCGGAUAGGAGCUCCUGCUGCAUGGUGGGGGUUGGAAAGUUUCGGCGGUUGGGGAUGGACUCGCGGCUUAUCAGCUUGUUGGUGGGGUAGUGGCGUACCAAGGCUUCGACGGGUAGCCGGCCUGAGAGGGUGACCGGCCACAUUGGGACUGAGAUACGGCCCAGACUCCUACGGGAGGCAGCAGUGGGGAAUAUUGCACAAUGGGCGGAAGCCUGAUGCAGCAACGCCGCGUGCGGGAUGACGGCCUUCGGGGUGUAAACCGCUUUCGCCUGUGACGAAGCGUGAGUGACGGUAAUGGGUAAAGAAGCACCGGCUAACUACGUG